rnacentral:SRP_RNA from 1 species
GCCAGGCAUGGUGGCGCAUGCCUGUAAUCCCAGCUACUUGGGAGGCUGAGACAGGAGAAUCGCUUGAACCUGGGAGGCAGAGGUUUCAGUGAGUUGAAAUUGCACCACUGCACUCCAGCCUGGGCAAUAGAGAGAGACUCUGUCUCAA